rnacentral:RNase_P_RNA from 1 species
ACGGCCCGUCGCGGGCCAUGCUCCCACAUUGGAGCGUGAGCGUGAGGAAAGUCCGGGCAACGAAGAGCACCAUCCUUCCUAACAGAAAGGCACGGGCAACCGUGCAGGCAACGUGACAGAAAACAACCGCCCCACUUAUGGCGGGGUAAGGGUGAAAAGGCGGGGUAAGAGCCCACCGGGCGCCAUCGCGAGUUGGCGCGCCGCACGGUCUGAUGGGUUGCAAGGUCAAGUAUACCGGCAGUGGAGCGCUGCUUCGGCCCCAGAGGCCGGCUGCUCCGGAUGGGCUGCUCGCCCAUUUGCCGGGGGGUAGACCGCUUUAGCCCGCGGGCAACCGCGCGGCAUAGAUAAAUGACGGGCCGACACGGCGUCGGAUUGCCAUCGCGCAAUCCCCCGGCCUCGAAAAACGAACAAAUAGUGUCGACAUAACCCGGCUUACAGUCCGGCCGC